rnacentral:rRNA from 1 species
GAUGAACGCUAGCUACAGGCUUAACACAUGCAAGUCGAGGGGUAACAAGAGAAAAGCUUGCUUUUCUUGUUGACGACCGGCGCACGGGUGAGUAACGCGUAUCCAACCUGCCUAUAACUAGGGAAUAACCUUGCGAAAGUAAGACUAAUACCCUAUGAUUUCCUUUGAUGACAUCAGAUUAGGAAUAAAGAUUUAUCGGUUAUAGAUGGGGAUGCGUCUGAUUAGCUUGUUGGCGGGGUAACGGCCCACCAAGGCAACGAUCAGUAGGGGUUCUGAGAGGAAGGUCCCCCACAUUGGAACUGAGACACGGUCCAAACUCCUACGGGAGGCAGCAGUGAGGAAUAUUGGUCAAUGGGCGAAAGCCUGAACCAGCCAAGUAGCGUGCAGGAUGACGGCCCUAUGGGUUGUAAACUGCUUUUGUACAGGAAUAAAGUUAGCCACGUGUGGUUAUUUGUAGGUACUGUAUGAAUAAGGACCGGCUAAUUCCGUGCCAGCAGCCGCAGUAA